AACUGUUUGUUUAAACAGAAAAACAUAUGAAGAAAGAGGGUGUAAAAACGUGUUUUGACUGUGCAAUAUCUAAAAAAAUAUUUUGUAUACUCAUUUUAUACUCAUUUGAUGUUAACAAUUUUUAUGUUCGAUGAAGUCGAUGCCAAACACGUAAGGUGUAGUCCAUUGGUAUGAUGACUGAACUUCAAAAGUGCUCAAUGAUUUCUGAACUAACUCCACUUAAGGAAACCUUACUUAACAAUAUCCAGUACGUGUCACUUAACAAAGAUAAUAUUCUCAACAAUAAGAAUUCCAA
rnacentral:lncRNA from 1 species